rnacentral:RNase_P_RNA from 1 species
CGAGUCGGCCGGGUGGACGCGGGCAACGCAACCGGAAAGCAUGUGUUUUUCCAGGGCGGUGCCCGAGGAAAGUCCGGACUCCGAACAGCACGGUGAUUGCUAACGGCAACCCAGGGUGACCUGAGGGACAAGUGCCACAGAAAACAGACCGCCACAGGGUUUUACCUGCGGUAAGGGUGAAAAGGUGCGGUAAGAGCGCACCAGCGCGCCGGGUGACCGGCGCGGCUGGGUAAACCCCACCGGGAGCAAGGUAAAAGCGUGCACCACCGGUGUGCGUGCGCACAUGUUCGGGCUGCUUGUUCUUCGGGAGACUUCUCAUGUCUCCCGGCAUGUGCGGGUUUGCUGCUUGAGGCCCCCGGCAACGGGUGGUCCAGAUGGAUGUUCACCACCACGGUGUCCGGUAACGGAUCCGUGGGACAGAAUCCGGCUUACAGGCCGUCUCGUUUC